AACCGACACAGGUGGGUGGGAUGAGUAUUCUAAGGCGCGUGGAAGAACCCUCUUUAAGGAACUCUGCAAAAUAGCACCGUAUCUUCGGUAUAAGGUGUGCCUACUUUGGUAUAUGAACUUGCUUCAAAAAGCUAAAGAGGUUGCAACAAAGAGUCCCUCCCGACUGUUUACCAAAAACACAGCACUUUGCUAACACGUAAGUGGAUGUAUAAGGUGUGACGCCUGCCCGGUGCUCGAAGGUUAAUUGAUGAUGUCAGCGCAAGCGAA
rnacentral:rRNA from 1 species